UACGUAGGGUGCAAGCGUUGUCCGGAAUUAUUGGGCGUAAAGAGCUCGUAGGCGGUUUGUUGCGUCGGCUGUGAAAUCCCGAGGCUCAACCUCGGGUCUGCAGUCGAUACGAGCAAACUAGAGUGUUGCAGGGGAGACUGGAAUUCCUGGUGUAGCGGUGGAAUGCGCAGAUAUCAGGAGGAACACCGAUGGCGAAGGCAGGUCACUGGGCCGCAACUGACGCUGAGGAGCGAAAGCCAUGGGGAGCGAACAGG
rnacentral:rRNA from 1 species